UGGGGGUUAGCCAAGUCGGUAAGGCCCAUGAGUUUGACACAUGUAUGCGUAGGUGAGAGUGCUGCAUCCCCAGCCA
rnacentral:tRNA from 1 species